AAAGCAAGAAACUAGCAGUAUUAUGGUUUCGGCCCAUAACCAGGUGCACUAUGCGCCCUUGCUUCCA
rnacentral:tRNA from 1 species